rnacentral:rRNA from 1 species
GACGAACGCUGGCGGCGUGCUUAACACAUGCAAGUCGAACGGAAAGGCCCUGCUUUUGUGGGGUGCUCGAGUGGCGAACGGGUGAGUAACACGUGAGUAACCUGCCCUUGACUUUGGGAUAACUUCAGGAAACUGGGGCUCAUACCGGAUAGGAGCUCCUGCUGCAUGGUGGGGGUUGGAAAGUUUCGGCGGUUGGGGAUGGACUCGCGGCUUAUCAGCUUGUUGGUGGGGUAGUGGCUUACCAAGGCUUUGACGGGUAGCCGGCCUGAGAGGGUGACCGGCCACAUGGGGACUGAGAUACGGCCCAGACUCCUACGGGAGGCAGCAGUGGGGAAUAUGGCACAAUGGGCGGAAGCCUGAUGCAGCAACGCCGCGUGCGGGAUGACGGCCUUCGGGUUGUAAACCGCUUUCGCCUGUGACGAAGCGUGAGUGACGGUAAUGGGUAAAGAAGCACCGGCUAACUACGUG